AAUAGGGCUGGUCAAAGAUUAAUGUAUAUUCCUACAUAUAAGGAACACACUGUGUUACAUGAUUUCUUUACACAGUUGAGAAUAUAAAAAUAUUUGUAAAGAAAAUUCAUGAAGGAUAAUGGGCUUGUUUGUCAUCAUGCGAUAAAAGCGUGUUGCGAGAUAAUUGGCAUAAAGGAUAUGUAUG
rnacentral:lncRNA from 1 species